GACGAACGCUGGCGGCGUGCCUAAUACAUGCAAGUCGAACGCAGUGGGGACGGGUGCGUAACACGUGGGUAACCUCCCAUCAGAGGGGAUAACACUUGGCAACAGGUGCUAAACCGAUACUGAUGGAUGGACCCGCGGUGCAUUAGCUAGUUGGUGGGGUCACGGCGCACCAAGGCCACGAUGCAUAGCCGACCUGAGAGGGUGAUCGGCCACACGGGGACUGAGACACGGCCCAGACUCCUACGGGAGGCAGCAGUAGGGAAUCUUGGGCAAGGGACGAAAGCCUGACAGAGCAACGCCGCGUGAGUGAAGAAGGUGUUCGGAUCGUAAAGCUCUGUUGUUAGAGAAGCGGUAUCUAACCAGAAAGCCACGGCUAACUACGUGCCAGCAGCCGCGGUAAUUC
rnacentral:rRNA from 1 species